ACGGAGGAUGCGAGCGUUAUCCGGAUUCCUUGGGUUUAAAGGGUGCGUAGGCGGACUAUUAAGUCAGUGGUGAAAUCCUGCAGCUUAACUGCAGAACUGCCAUUGAUACUGAUAGCCUUGAGUUUGGUUAAGGUAGGCGGAAUGUGUAAUGUAGCGGUGAAAGGCUUAGAUAUAACACAGAACACCAAGUGCGUAGGCAGGUGACUGAGCCGGCACGGACGCUGAUGCAGGAAAGCGUGAGGAUCGAACAU
rnacentral:rRNA from 1 species